UUUCAGAAUGUGAGGCAAUGUCUUGACACUAUGUACUUCGAUGGAGAAGACGAACGUGCGAAGCGCUAGUGCGUUGCGCUUUGAUAAGGGGAGUCCUCUGCCCUCUAGCAUCACAGCGGCUGCACGAUUCUUUAAAUAUAAAUUUUUACCGUUUCGGAUUACACCAUUUUUCCAUUUCCAACUCUGUUUUUUUUUUCUUCUUCACUGUAAACUCUUUAUUUUACUGAAUUAGGUCACCAUCAAGCUUAAUUUCCUUGUAUUUCGUGAAGAUUGGAGGAUAGAUAAGCCAGAAAGAGAGGAGACUCAGACGAGAAACGAAGGAGCGAAGAGCUCAAAACAAAGAACUCCGUGAAAAAGGCACAUCUGACGAAGAAGAAGAGAUGAUGGCGUAGUCAGAGGAGCGUAUUCCUCGGGAAUUAGUGCCCUCUAACCUGUCUCAACAAUCAAUUUGCAUCACGUGUCCAAAGACUAUAGAAGAGCAACUAAAUAUGAGGGAAAUCCUCUUUUCGCUGAAGGAUGAUGCGAAAGAUGGGCUCUACUACUUGCCAUUUGGGAGCAUCACAAAGGUACGUUAAUAAGUUCUUCCCUGCGUCAUAGGCCACAAGGGUCAGAAAGGAGAUUUACAGCAUCCUUCAGUGUCUGGAAGAGUGGCUGUACAAGUAGGAGGAGAGUUUCAAGCACCUCUAUGUUGGGUUUUCUCACCACCAGAUCUCAUAUCAAUUUCUCAUUUAGUACUACUAUGAGGGGUCGUUAUAGUAGGACAAGAUUAACAUUGAUGCAGUUGCCAACGAAGCUAUGGGGAACAAGACUCCUACGGAGGCUAAAGAGAUGAUUUACCUUGAUGGCAGAGGAUGCGCAACAGUGUGGAAGAAGAAACCGCAUCAAUCAACCUGUUUCUUAAGAGGUAAUUGAGCUCAAACCUGAAAUUGUUGAACUAACUACAUUGGUUAAACAGGCUUGUUUGGCAAAGGCACAAGCCAGGAGCCAAACUAUGGUGGAAACUAGCAAGAAGCUCAGGAGUACCCCUGGAGAACGUGGUUCAAAGCUUGGCAGAUUCGACCUUGAAGCUUAAGUACAACCAAGAGACGUUCCAACAAACAACUACCAUCCACAUGCAGAGUAUGGCCACUUAGAUCUCCAAGUUAGCCAGCGCCAAUAAUAGAUUGGAUACUCAAUACAGGAAGCUUCCUUUCCAGCGUAACAUGCGUAAUGUCAGUGAGAUAAUGGUAGUGAGCUAUAAUGAGGUUUCCUACCCUCCUAUUUCUGAACUAGUGAAUGAGCCAGUAGAGUUCAAACAAGAAGAUGUUGAGGAAAAGUCUAAAAGACAAACUAGAAGAUGUGGGUAAGUUUCGAUCCACCUUUUAAUUUGAAUGCUUACAUUUCUCGUGAUCAUUUUUCCAGCAGGUUGACUAUUGUUCAGGGAGGUCCGGAGAAAGUGUUUUCGGUUGUGUCUUUAGAGAAAGACAAAAACCCAACAACAAAUGGCAAGUGAACGUGGGGUGAAGGUUGAAGACAAGCCAAAAGGAUGAAAGACUUUAAUCAUCCGUCCAAGUAACCUGGUAACCAAAUGUGAUGAUCUAGGAUGACAAUAUGAAACUUGGUCUCAAUCCCGAGUGAGUUAUGGACUCCUACCUUUGAGAGUUUGUCCUCUGUAUGGGUAGAAGUGGCCCGAGUCAUCAACUCAAUAAACAUACUAUUUUGGGGAAUGGACAGAGUGAAGAGCUGGGAACAUAAUUACACAAGAUGGAAUUCACUCCAACUUUAGGAUAAUUGAGCAACUAAGAGACAAUAUGGACAAAAAUGAGUCUAAACAGAGCCUGGAAACAUCAACCAUGAGAAGAAGAAGAAUAAUGACCGAGUCUGCCCCUUGGCUUAGUGCAGUCGCGCUUGCUAUGCGUUGUGCUCAACGCUCGAACACAGUAGUAUGAAAAUCAGGAAGCAUUGCGACACUACUUGGAGUGUCGUGGCGCUCCGGAUAUUGAUGAGCAUGACAGGGCAUGCAUGCGCUUGAGUGCACUGGCCCGAGUGUAGUAGCUCUUGAAGUAGGUACUACGAUAUGGCCUAGAGUGUAGUUGCGCUCUCCCUAACCGCAACGGCACUCGACUACUUUUGUAUAAGCAUUUUGAGCCAAAUUAGAUUGAUCCAUCUUAAUUUUAGAAGCCUCCACACAAAUUUACUCUAUAUUCCUCACCUCCCAACAUUUACCCUUAUACCUUUCAUUAAUUUUGCAUAUUGUGGCUCAGUUUAGCACAUUAUGAGUGGCUACGGUAAUUGAUUUCUAGCUUAG